CAAUUGUUUAAGAAAAUAUAACUUUUUUUCUCACUCAGAAGCCAAAAUAAUUCGGUCAUAGAGAGCCCUCCCUAUGCGAUUAUUCACUUCGCCAGAAUUACAGGCCGUGAUGAAGAACUGAUUUUCACUGAAAAAUAUUAGGUUUAAUGUUCUCUGUGUGACCAUGGUCAGCCUCUCCAAGGAUAAAUUUUCGCAAAUUUUCGGGCUUAAUAUGGAAGAUGCAAUUCAUUGCCGAAAUUCACCUUUUGUUUUAUUCAACCCUUUCGCUUAAGUUGCCCGACACUACAACCCUAUGCAUCUUUACGUUGCUUAACAUCUCAGAGUAGCAGAUGGUUAACUCAACUGGUGUAGCUAACCUUUGGCAGAUUGUCAGCAGUAGUCAAAUAAAGAACAUGUCUUUCAAAGCUAAA